GAUUUCUGAUCUGAUGUACCUGUCCCUGUACGGUUAACGUCGCAGUGUGAUGGUUCGUAUAUCGAUCAUCCUUCUAGAUUCCUAUAGGCGGGUAAUUUACUUUACACGCCUAUAAUCAAGGAUUUAUCUAGAUGUUUUACUUUGAAAAAAUUAGAGUGUUUCAAGCAGGCGUUAUACGCUAUGAAUACAUUAGCAUGGAAUAAUAAUUUAGGACUUCGGCUCUAUUUUGUUGGUUUCUAGGACUGAAGUAAUGAUUGAUAGGGACAGUUGGGGGUGCUAGUAUUCAUUGGCCAGAGGUGAAAUUCUUGGAUUCAAUGAAGACUAACUUAUGCGAAAGCAUU
rnacentral:rRNA from 1 species